rnacentral:rRNA from 1 species
UACGAAGGGGGCUAGCGUUGCUCGGAAUUACUGGGCGUAAAGCGCACGUAGGCGGAUUGUUAAGUCGGGGGUGAAAUCCUGGAGCUCAACUCCAGAACUGCCUUCGAUACUGGCGAUCUCGAGUUCGGGAGAGGUGAGUGGAACUGCGAGUGUAGAGGUGAAAUUCGUAGAUAUCAGGAAGAACACCCGUGGCGAAAGCGGCUCUCUGGAACGGUACUGACGCUGAGACGCGAAAGCGUGGGGAGCGAACAGG